UUUCCCUCAGGAUAGCUGGCACUCGCUCGAUAGCGAGUCUCAUCUGGUAAAGCGAAUGAUUAGAGGCCUUGGGGCCGAAACGACCUCAACCUAUUCUCAAACUUUAAAUGGGUGAGAUCUCUGGCUUGCUUGAACGUUGAAGCCAUGAGAUCGCGUUUCCGUGUUGAAAACACACGGAGCGCCUCACGGAUCAGAGUGCCAAGUGGGCCAAUUUUGGUAAGCAGAACUGGCGCUGUGGGA
rnacentral:rRNA from 2 species